GUAUUAAACACCAAUUAUUUAGCUCUUAUUGUGAAUUAACAUGUCAUUUCACCCAAACGCAUUUGCGAGUCGUUUGAGCCUUACCUUUACCCGAUUCUGUCGCCACGAAAGCCAAGGAACAGCACCGUGAAGGGGGCCUGGUGGACAGCCAUCUUAGGAGUCAGAAGACCCCUGUCCCCGCUUCCGGUCUCAUUAGCUGUGUGGUUUUAGAUCCCUGUUUCCUGUCUGGCAGAUUUACGAUGCAGUUCAAAGAAGGAAGGAUGAUAUAACGCUUUCCUGCUCCCUCCCUCUCCCAACCGACUUAGGCUAACUGGCUGGGGGCCAAGCGGUUUGUUUUCCGCAGCCUUGAGUUUGUAAAAAUACUCCAGGCCCCAACCUCCCGCCUGUGACAUGGCGUCAGCUCCCAAACCCACCGGUCAGGCCUUCGCUUGUGGGCGGGAAGGAGGCGGCCCUGCGCUGGGCUGGAGUCUAAUUAAGUGCUGAGCAAAUAAACCAUGGGCUUCAAUUUUAGCUCUGAAAAUAGCUAGGGCCCAGGAUUCCUCUCUCUGGCCUGAGCUGUGAGGCUGGUCCCACCACACUGACCUCCCUGGCCUGAGCAGUGGGGUUUGUGAGGAGGGACUGAGAGGAGAGGGGUCUGAGGAGCCCAUGAAGGCCCAUGGGCACAAAGCCAUGGGGGACGUCGACUUCAGGGAGAGGGAGACUCCAGCCUGGGGGUGGGCUACCCAGGCCCUGCCUUUGCACUGUGCGGACCGCCUGCCUGCAGGACGCCCAGGAGUUCUGGGUCCCACUGACUGCCUCUCCGAGCCCCAUGUGGCUAAGAAUGCUAAGCUCUGGCCAACACUGAGCCUCCCUUCUGCAACACCUGGGACUGAAUUGGCUUUGUAUUGGCAUGGAGCCCUCGGACCUCAGCAUCAAAGAGGCAGGGCGUGAAGCCACAAUCAAGAACAAGCAAAGUGAGCGCAGGGACUUUGCUUAUUUGGAUGGUGUCUGCAUGUCUGGAUGACCCACAGGGAAGCAGACCUCCAGUGCCAACAGCGGCUGUGAAGACAAGUCACAAGUGCCUCAGACUAAGCCAGUACCCUCUGCUUCUGCGGAAUCGUUGGAAGAAAAGGGAAGGAGAAACUCAAAGGAAAUCAAACUGCAAGGGCAGAAGUGCAGGCUCUUACCUGGCACUCCUCGGUGAGGGCUUUUCCAGCAAGACAAAAUGCCGAGCAGAUAUCUGGGGGACACAGGCCCCUUCAGCUCACUCUUGCAGAUGCCUUCAGAGGUCCUGCUUCUCUUCAAACACUUUCAGUCACUCCAUGAGCAUGUUUGAAGCAGCUCCCACGGCCGCAUGUGGCCGUGCAGCAGGGGCACAGCCAGCCACAUGAGUAACGACAAGACGGUCAAGUGUGUGACCAGUGCUGCACGGAGGAGGGGACCGGGGGGCCGAGGGAAGACGGCACAGGCACCCACGGCCGCCUGGCAGCCAAGGAAGGCUUCCCCGAGAGGCUGAGGGUGCCCAGGCCUUCUCCAGGCCUGUCUGCUGCUCUUUCCCCCACUUCUCCACUAAGGGCCUGGUCAGGGGCCGGGGCCAUGGGAGACAGACCGGCAGUCAGAGGACACUCUUCAUUCAACAGGGACCUGUCGCUACCCUGGUCUCCCCUUUCCUGCUCGGAGGAGCCUCCUCCGGCCUAGUUGUUCCUAACUCAGCCCCCUCUCCUGGUGGAGCCUGAGGCCAGAAAGCAGGCAACGCUGAUAAUAAUAAUAGUAAUAAUAAUGGUAAUGCGGAGAAGGGGGUAGGGAGGGGAGUGGUGGAGGAGAAAGGCCGCUUUACCUCAAACCCCACCCUGCGGGUUAAGUGUCUCCACCCCCAGCCAUGCUUGUGGAGAAGGCAGCUCCGUGUGGCCAGACCACAGAGUCCCCAUUUGGAAGAUCCCCUUUCCUAACCACCCUGGCCCAACAUCAGUAGCAAUAUUGCCCCACAAGGAGCAGCGAGCCAUUUACUGCAAAAAUCACCAGCGUCAGGGCUCAAACACCAAGUUCAGACACGAAGAACUCCCCCUCUGGAGCAUAAAACCAAGUUCAGAAUGAAGAAAAACAAAAUUUCCAGCCCGAGUUUCCUCUGAGGAGACACCCUCGGCGCCCCUCCUCACAGCUGCAAGGCCUCCUUCCCGGGCUGGGCCCUCAUUAGGAGCUAAUGGGCCCCAGCUGUGCCAGCUUCCAGACUCCUCCUUAACCCCUUGGUUUCCUCCGUCACUGCCAGAGGAAAAUGAGGCCUUGGAAUUUCCGUGCAGGGUUGAGAGCAGAGGGCACCCGCUGCACAGAGUUAGUGGUGUGCACCUUCUAUGGUUCCUCCUAAGAAACCAAAUAAUUAACAGGUACUACUAUUUGUGGGGUGCCUCGUACGCCUUUGUGCUGUGCUCAGUCAUUUCAGUCAGGUACGACUCUUUGUAACCCUAUGGAUUAGACCCUAUGGAUUAGACUGUAGCCUACCAGGCUCCUCUGUCCAUGGGAUUCACAGGCAAGGACACUGGAGUGGGUUGCCAUGCCCUCCUCCAGGGGAUCUUCCCGACUCAGGGAUCAAACCUGGGUUUCCUGCAUUGCAGGCGGAUUCUUUUCCAUUGAGCCACCAGGAAAGCCCUCGUAUGCCUUACCCACUAGGAUUAUUAGCUCCUCCGGGCUCUCUCAUCUUUGCAGACACAGUAGGGGGUAGGAAUUAUUGCACCCAUCUUAUGGAUGAGAACAUUGAGGCCAGCAAAGAGACGUGAUUCAAACCCCUUCUGUUGUCUUUCUGACCACCUUAUCGCUUGCUCUGAGCAAGAGUUGGUUCUCCAAUGUGCAGAUGAAAGAGAUAAAGGCCACUCUCACGUUGUCCAUCUGUAGAGGUGGUAAAACUCUAAAGCCAGAGAACACUGAGUUGAGAAUCUGAAGAACCAGGUUUUCUCCCCAACCGAGGGCCUUUGUUGACUCUGGACAAAUACCAGCUUCCUUGAGCUCCCACAACCUUAUCUUCAAAAUAAUGCAAGUGAAAAUACUUGCCUUUCUUCCUCGUGGGCCUGUUGGAAGAUCAAAUAGAUCCAGUUGGGCAAAAGCACUGUAAGCUGUAGGGAAGAAGGAUGAUGACCUUGGAGGACCUCCCCCCAACCCCCAACAUUUGUGAGAAAUAGACUCCGAGGCAUUCCGUCAGAAGCUGUUACUUUUAUGAUUUUGGAGGACCAGAGGUUUAUUAUAAUGACAAACUUUAAGUCCUCCCUGGCUGAACCUAGUCUCUUAAAAAGGUGAACCCUGUUUGAGCCACUGUCUGACUCACCACCUAUCCCCUCUUACCACAUGGCCACUAUAUCAGAUUUUUCCUCUCCCAUGGAAAACAAUCAGUUAAUUAAGAUAAUUGGGUUUAUCACCAAAACCCAGAAAUGUCUUUCAGUUGGGGAAAGGAUAAAUGACUCUGGUACAUUCAUAUAAGCAACGAAAGGUGUGAAAUACUGAUCAUAAAUACUUUAUGCCAAGUGAAAGAGGCCUAACUCCAAAGGCUGUGUAUUGUAUGAUUCCACACAAGUGACAUUCUGGGGGAGGCAGAACUACAGAGAUGGGACCAGACCAGGGGUCACCAGGGGUAAGUGCUCAGGAAGGGUUUGACCAGAAGGGUGCAGGGAGCACAGAGGAGUUCCUGCUGGGGCAAUAGAACUAUUUUGUAUCUUGAUUAUGAUGGUGGCUACAGGACUCAAAGCACUUGUUAAAACCCACAGAACUGUGUACACAAAAGAGUGGAUUUUACUGUAGAUAAGUUAAGACAGGUUAUUAAAAAUUAAAAACUAAGCCACUGAGAUUUUUUACAAAAGGAUCAUUGAGAAAGCA
ensembl:lncRNA